CCUACGGGGUGCAGCAGUGGGGAAUAUUGCACAAUGGGGGAAACCCUGAUGCAGCGACGCCGCGUGAAGGAAGAAGUAUUUCGGUAUGUAAACUUCUUUUCUCAGGGACGAAGAAAGUGACGGUACCUGAGGAAUAAGCCACGGCUAACUACGUGCCAGCAGCCGCGGUAAUACGUAGGUGGCAAGCGUUAUCCGGAUUUAUUGGGUGUAAAGGGCGUGUAGGCGGGAGCGCAAGUCAGAUGUGAAAACUCAGGGCUCAACCCUGAGCCUGCAUUUGAAACUGUGUUUCUUGAGUGCUGGAGAGGCAAUCGGAAUUCCGUGUGUAGCGGUGAAAUGCGUAGAUAUACGGAGGAACACCAGUGGCGAAGGCGGAUUGCUGGACAGUAACUGACGCUGAGGCGCGAAAGCGUGGGGAGCAAACAGGAUUAGAUACCCUUGUAGUC
rnacentral:rRNA from 1 species